rnacentral:rRNA from 1 species
AACGAACGCUGGCGGCAGGCUUAACACAUGCAAGUCGAGCGCCCCGCAAGGGGAGCGGCAGACGGGUGAGUAACGCGUGGGAACGUACCCUUUGCUACGGAAUAGCUCCGGGAAACUGGAAUUAAUACCGUAUGUGCCCUACGGGGGAAAGAUUUAUCGGCAAAGGAUCGGCACGCGUUGGAUUAGCUAGUUGGUGGGGUAAUGGCCUACCAAGACGACGAUCCAUAGCUGGUCUGAGAGGAUGAGCAGCCACAUUAGGACUGAGACACGGCCCAAACUCCGACGGGAGGCAGGAGUGGGCAAUAUAGGACACUGGGCGCGAGCCUGAUCGAGCCAUGCCUCGUGAGUGAUGCGGGCCUUAGGGUUGUAAAGCUCUUUCACCGGAUAGGCUAAUGACGGUGAGCGGAGAAGAAGGCCCGGCAAAUGUCGUGCCUGCAGCCGCCGUAAUAC